GACGAACGCUGGCGGCGUGCUUAACACAUGCAAGUCGAGCGAUCGGCCUUGGAGGGGUAACCCUCCUUGGCACGGAGCGGCGAACGGGUGAGUAACACGUGGGCAACCUGCCCCAGGCUCUGGGAUAACCCCCGGAAACGGGAGCUAAUACCGGAUACUCUCGGGACCUCGCAUGGGGACCCGAGGAAAGAAUCUCGGCCUGGGAUGGGCCCGCGGCCUAUCAGCUUGUUGGUGGGGUAACGGCCCACCGGGGCGGCGACGGGUAGCUGGCGGGAGAGCGUGGCCAGCCACACUGGGACUGAGACACGGCCCAGACUCCUACGGGAGGCAGCAGUGGGGAAUCUUGCGCAAUGGGCGAAAGCCUGACGCAGCGACGCCGCGUGGGGGAAGAAGGCCCUCGGGUCGUAAACCCCUUUCGGCAGGGAAGAAGCCGCAAGGUGACGGUACCUGCAGAAGAAGCCCCGGCUAACUACGUGCCAGCAGCCGCUGUAAGAC
rnacentral:rRNA from 1 species